AUACGUAGGGGGCGAGCGUUGUCCGGAAUGAUUGGGCGUAAAGGGCGCGUAGGCGGCCCGGUAAGUCUGGAGUGAAAGUCCUGUUUUUAAGAUGGGAAUUGCUUUGGAUACUGUCGGGCUUGAGUGCAGGAGAGGUAAGUGGAAUUCCCAGUGUAGCGGUGAAAUGCGUAGAGAUUGGGAGGAACACCAGUGGCGAAGGCGACUUACUGGACUGUAACUGACGCUGAGGCGCGAAAGUGUGGGGAGCAAACAGGAUUAGAUACCCUGGUAGUCCACACUGUAAACGAUGAAUGCUAGGUGUAGGGGGUAUCGACCCCUUCUGUGCCGCAGUCAACACAAUAAGUAUUCCACCUGGGAAGUACGAUCGCAAGAUUGAAACUCAAAUGAAUUGGCGGGG
rnacentral:rRNA from 1 species